rnacentral:rRNA from 1 species
UGGGGAAUAUUGCACAAUGGGCGGAAGCCUGAUGCAGCGACGCCGCGUGGGGGAUGACGGCCUUCGGGUUGUAAACCUCUUUCAGUGCAGAACAAGGCGCUCUGUGGGUUGAGGGUAUGCGUAGAAGAAGCGCCGGCUAACUACGUGCCAGCAGCCGCGGCAAUACGUAGGGCGCGAGCGUCGUCCGGAAGUAUUGGGCGUAAAGUGCUCGUAGGCGGUUUGUCGCGUCUGCUGUGAAAUCCUCUGGCUUAACUGGGGGCUUGCAGUGGGGACGGGCAUACUGGAGUGCUGUAGGGGAUACUGGAAUUCCUGGGGGAGCGGUGAAAUGCGCAGAGAUCAGGAGGAACACCGGUGGCGAAGGCGGGUCUCUGGGCCGUUACUGACGCUAAGGAGCGAAAGCAUGGGGAGCGAACAG